AAGUCGUAACAAGGUCUCCGUAGGUGAACCUGCGGAGGGAUCAUUAACACGUUUCCAUAACGUUUAACUUUCUACACACCAAAAUGCGUGAAUUCAAUCGAAUCAACUUAUACCCGACUUGAGAGGGAGAGAACCUGUCUUUAUACACGGAGUGAUGAGUGUGCGUAUUUGUUAUGUUGGCAACAGCAUAACAUUAGGCAUGCGGUGUAUCUAGGCUUGUAAUGCUCGACAUUACGGGAUCUCUCUCAUUCAAGCUAUCAACAAUUAACCAAUGUUCCCUUCAUCGCUGGAACGAACAACACCCCUUUCACCCCUUUAUAACUAACUAGACUGAUAUUUCUUUUUGACAGUGAGGCUUGCUUUACUGUUUCAAGGAUUGAUUUUAAUCAAAUAUCUAAGCACAACUCUUAGCAACGGAUAUCUUGGUUCUC
rnacentral:misc_RNA from 1 species